rnacentral:rRNA from 1 species
UGGGGAAUAUUGGACAAUGGGCGCAAGCCUGAUCCAGCCAUGCCGCGUGGGUGAUGAAGGCCCUAGGGUUGUAAAGCCCUGUUGAGGGGGAAGCGGUACAUCGGAUAAUACCCGGUGUGUCUUGACGGUACUCCCGAGGAAGCCCCGGCUAAUUAC